AUGUAUGGGAAUCUUGUUGAAGGAGAAAGCUUUGAGUUGAGGAUGGAGAACGGAGAGAGAGGCGAAGAAUUGGCUUCUCCCAAGAAUGAGCCAACAGCCUCUGAGGGCCUCGACAAGUUCCAGCGAUUGAAGCCCACAAUACUCGGAGCGAUUGAAGUAACAAUUGGGAUCUCCAUGGCACUGACCGCAAUUACGUAUCUGGCUGUCGAUGUCGACCUCGACAUAACAGCAAUCCUCUUCUGGGGAAUCUUCAUCUACAUCCCUGCUGGGGGUUUGACCAUCGCUGCUGACAGGAAACCCACCAGGGCCAAGGUGUGCGCUGCGUUGGGGAUGAAUGUGCUGGUGGCUCUCUCGACCGUCGCUGGAAGUGUUCUUCAUUUCUUUGCUAGUGUACUAUUUGCGUACCCUCCCUGCCACCUUGGUUGUAAACAUUUGAGAAAUACUGAAUUGUUCAUGCUGGCAGCGUCCAUCUUGCUGUUCAUCGUCUCCAUACUGGUUGUUUCCUCUGCAGUGGCUGCUCUGUGUUCCUCUAGAAAGCCAUCAAUAGAAAACACAGUAAUCUAAGAGGUACCCCUCGUUCUAAGGUGGACAAAAAAAUUGAUGAACCUCUUCUAUCUUCAGAUUUCACACCAAAAGGUUUUAUUUUAUAAAUAUUUCUUUGUACACCUUUUUUAUCUUCUGAUAUCUUUCUAAUGUGGUUUACUUUGAUAUUGCAGAGAUAUUGUAACCCUGAUGUAAAUGAUUGUUGUUUCCAGAAUGUUUUUUAUAAUAUAUAUAUAAUCUCAAUUACUUUCUGUCAUUAUUUAUUUAGAUUAAUAAAAAUAGCGGAGAUAACAUCUGCAACAACUUAAAACAAUUUCCAAGUUCAGUUUAUUAACUCAAUUUGUAACAUUUCAACAAGACUGCUAAGUCUGUGUGAAUCUCAAAACAGAGAAACAAGAGCAAAUGAGUCACUGGGGUUUGCAUUUAAUGAAAAAUAUUUUUAAACAGUAAACAUUGGUCGCUUGUCAGCUUCAUCAGCUUAUUCCCUUUCAAAAAAAAUAACAUAUUCAUGCAUCUUUCAAGCAUGAAUAAAGACACCAAGUCCCUCUGUCAUGACUUUGUACGAUCAAAAUUCUUGUAAAACUUCUGACCCUUGGUAUUAUGUUUAUUUAAAAUAAAAUAAGUAACUUAUUAAAAUAAAUAAAUAAAUGAGACCCCGCCCCGUCUGCCGCUCGCGCCCCCCCCCCCCCCCCCCCCCCCCCCCCCCCCACACCCCCGACACUUUUUAUCAGCUGAGGGCGUUUCCAUGAGUCUCAUAGUAUUUGAACAUGUUGUACUUGUUGAUUAGCUCACGUUGCUAUGGCAAUGAAAACGCCCUCAGCUGAUAAAAUAAUGCCAGCAUUUUUUUUCAACUGAAAAUUAGCACCCAUGUCAACUUCUUCUGCUCCUUGCACCUUAUCAUGCUUAUCAUGCUACGCAGCAUUACAAGCCCCUGCUGACUAAAACAUGAAGCAAUUCAAGAGGAGGCAUAGAUAGAAUCACCUUGUGGUCAACUGUCAUUUAAUAGUCAUCUGACAGAUUAUGUCAAGGUUAUAAAAUGAUCAUUAUUAUUAUUAGCUGCUCAUGUUAUAACACAGCUGGAUAUCGUGGAUUUUCUGAUAAAGACUAGCAAGCCUUUUUGACAGACAAAACAGCAGAAACUAUUUUAAGUGUGCUCGUGCUGCCUUUUUGGUUUUGUCAAACAGGAGACGCCUGCCCACCAAUCAGAGGUUAGAGAUUCCUGCAGGAAGGUUGUGCUCGAUUUCACUAGCCCAUUUGUGCCUGUUCAUUAGUGUACAGCAUCUAUUCUCUCAUUGCUUGUGUAAAAAAAAGUUAGAAUAUUAGAUUUGAGGACGAAAUGAUAGGGUGGGCUAAGGCAAGUUUUAGGUGGGCUUGAGCCCACCCAAAAAGGUCUAGCUUCGCGACUGAACGUAAGCUAGCGAGAACUCAUCCAGCUUCACUUUUCAAAAAUGCGCGGUAACUGUUAGCGGCUACAGUGACGUAGGCCUACGUAGCCAGCAGAUUUAGGCCACGUUUAUACGUAGCAGGGUAUUUAUAGAAACAAAUAUUUCCCCCCCUCCGUUUUCAAAAAUAACAUUGUGCACACAACAUCGUUUUCAAAAAAGUUGUCGUUUACAUCAAAACGCAUAAAUACGCUGUCGAGCACCAUUAUAACCAUGCCAAACCUAUGGGCGGCAGUGUAGGGAGAAGGAUAAAGCCAUGCAAGCCAAUCAGAGUGCUCAGAAUCAACAACAACGAAUAACACGAGCGUCUUCCUGUAAGAAACAAACUGUAAACAUAGGGCGCUCAUAUGACGUUAAGCAUUUCCUGGCGCAUAAUGUGACGCUUCAGAACCUUAAACCCCGUUUCUCCCCGUUGACACGACAACACAUAACCGGCGUUUUCAGAAAUCUCCAAUUUGGCCAGAGUUUUUAGAAAUGAUUGUUUUCUGUGAUAAAAACAGCGUUUUGGUGUAAAUAAGAGGCCAAACCUCUUGGAAAUAUCUGCGUUUUCCCUUCGUGUAAACGGGGCCUUAAUAGUCCGCCAAAGACGUUGACGUCGCUUUGCAACCGAAGACGCUGGGUUUGACAAGUUAUCGGACUUCUUGCGGAGUGAUACCAAAGACGCCAUUAGAGGCAAAAAAGCCUUUGUUUACCUUGACAGCGGUCAAUUAUACUUCGCAGCGGUGCAUUAUCAAAUAUAAUUCACCGCCGGGAGUUGUGUAGGGCCCAUGCAAGUGAACGGAGCGUUAAUAAUAUAAAUAAUAAUAUAAAAUAUGUAUAUACAUAUUUUUUUUUUUAGAUCUGUGCCUCAAGUGGGGGGGCACUAGCAUUGUGGGGGGCGGACCCGGCCCCCUAUGGCCCGCCCAUAGUGACGGGCCUGGAUGUACCUAUAGUGCCUGACAGCUGCUUUCACACCGCCGCGCGGCAACUCGCCGUCUCCGUUCAUUUCAAUGAGGGAAGGGCGGCAGAGGGGAGGCGAGGGGAGGCCAGAUUCUACAGGCCUGUCCCCCCUUUCUCUCUGCCUCCGUCCAGCCCUGUCAUGUCGGCUGUGAGGACCAGCUCUUCUCCUCUGGUCAGUGCAACUGGAAUAACCUCUAUACAGGUCUUACAUUCUGCAGCGUGUAGCGGAUAGAGGAUUUACCAUCUUUUUCAUUUUCUUUAUGUAGGUUGAAUCAGAUAGGAGCCCUGCUCCUCCUGGUCUCCUCCUGGUCUCCUCCUGGUCUCCUCCUCCUGGUCUCCUCCUGGUCUCCUCUUGGUCUCCUCCUGGUCUCCUCCUGGUCCCCUCCUGGUCCUUUCCUGGUCACCUGGUCUCCUCCUGGUCCCCUCCUGGAGACCAUUCCCCAGCAGGACCAGCGCUGGAUUGCGUCCACGCUGUGGAGGAACCAGCGGCUGCGCCCGGACGUCCAGCUCUGGUAUGAGCCACCGGUUCCUGCCCUCCUCUACAGCCAGGUCC
ensembl:lncRNA